GGGUCUUGGCUAAGGACACAUGGUGUGAGUCUCUUUUCUAGCUUCCUGAGUUUUGAGUUACCUCUUUAUGCUAAUAACAUUGUGAUGUGCAAAACCCCUAGAGAUGAAGUAAUCAGCAAUAGUAAUCUGUGGCUUAUGAGCGCCACCUAGAGGAAGGAGGUGAAUGGCAUUUGAAAAGGUUGGAAGGGGCCAGUUACUGAAGUUACAGGGAAUGUGGGGUUCAGAUAAAGAGGUGCCUUGGGCUGGAGUUUGAAAGCGCCUUGCAAGUGUAUCUGCCUGUUAUUUCUCUUCCAGACACAGCCAAGACCUGUGAGAAUAAACUUCAUCCCCUCAUCUGUCCUGCCUGCCCAGGCCAUGGUGGGAGAACGCUCUGGACGGGGAGACAGCGGCAGUUGCGGCUCUAGUGACGUCUGUGUGUGGGCUUAGGUUGCCAGAGGCUGUGGCAAUCUGUUGCAUUCCCCGCCCUUUGCUACUUCUAAAGAGGGCGGAACCUGUCUGCGUAGGUGGGAUUGGAUGUCAACAAUGUUACUACUGUGUCAGUUGGUGUUACUGCCACCACCACCUUCGCCCUUAGUUAUAAAGCUGGUGAAGAGUAUUGGUUGCACCAGAAAACUACCACUGAGCACUCAGUUUCUUCUACUUAGACGAAGAACAGAAAAAAGGAGGAAGAAAAGAUACUGAGCAAUAAGUAACCAAAACGAACAUUGCAGAUCAUUUAAUUCAGGAGCAGAGGCCAGAGAAGGCAAUGAAAUAUGUCCGGGACGACGAUCUGCCCCGCAAGAUACAGCACACUCCCUCCUACCCCCAAGAUGAUUUCUGAUGGUCUGCGAUGUAGACAGCCUGCAGUUACCGUGUCAACCGCCUUGGGGAAGCGGAUGCUCCUCCUUCUGUUGAAUCUUCAGAGCGUCAAUAGCAAUAUUGUGUCACGUGACGUCACAAUGUUUGCAUCAUCCACCUCGUUUGUCUCAUCAUGGGGGCAUCUUGUCAUCUCAUAUCAUCUAAGAAGAAGGG